CGGGACGUGGCGCAGUUUGGUAGCGCACUUGACUGGGGGUCAAGGGGUCGUCGGUUCAAAUCCGGCCGUCCCGACCA
rnacentral:tRNA from 2 species